GGGGUCUAAUACCGGAUAACACCUGCCCGGGCAUCUGGGUGGGUUAAAAGCUCCGGCGGUGAAGGAUGAGCCCGCGGCCUAUCAGCUUGUUGGUGAGGUAGUGGCUCACCAAGGCGACGACGGGUAGCCGGCCUGAGAGGGCGACCGGCCACACUGGGACUGAGACACGGCCCAGACUCCUACGGGAGGCAGCAGUGGGGAAUAUUGCACAAUGGGCGAAAGCCUGAUGCAGCGACGCCGCGUGAGGGAUGACGGCCUUCGGGUUGUAAACCUCUUUCAGCAGGGAAGAAGCGAAAGUGACGGUACCUGCAGAAGAAGCGCCGGCUAACUACGUGCCAGCAGCCGCGGUAAUACGUAGGGCGCAAGCGUUGUCCGGAAUUAUUGGGCGUAAAGAGCUCGUAGGCGGCUUGUCACGUCGGGUGUGAAAGCCCGGGGCUUAACCCCGGGUCUGCAUUCGAUACGGGCUAGCUAGAGUGUGGUAGGGGAGAUCGGAAUUCCUGGUGUAGCGGUGAAAUGCGCAGAUAUCAGGAGGAACACCGGUGGCGAAGGCGGAUCUCUGGGCCAUUACUGACGCUGAGGAGCGAAAGCGUGGGGAGCGAACAGGAUUAGAUACCCUGGUAGUCCACGCCGUAAAC
rnacentral:rRNA from 1 species